rnacentral:lncRNA from 1 species
AGUGAGACCUUUGGGUGGUGAUGAUGUUGUGAGGGCAAAGCACUCAUGAAUGAGAUUAGUGACCUCAUAAAAGCAGCCCCAGAGAGCUGCCUUGCCUUUCCUGCCAGGUGAGUACACAGUGAGAAGAUGGCCAACUAUAAGCCAGGAAACAGGCCUCCAUCAACAAGGAAUCUGCCGGCAACUUGAUCUUGGACUUCCCAGCCUCCAGGAUUGAAGAAAAAUAUGUUGCAAACAUGGAGGAAAGAUGAUGGCCUCCUUCAACAGAACUAUGAGUUGUCCAAGAUUUCACAAAGUUCUUCAAGCAUGGCAUUUGAUGAUGAGCCCUAAGAUGACUUGAGCCUCACGUCAACUCUCUUUGCUACACGCCCCUCUUUGGAGACCACCACUUCAUGCAAUGGGGAGUGACAUUAGGGCUGAACUUUAAGAAAGAGAACUCUGACAGUAAUGAGAAGACAGAAAAAGAGAAUGACCAGAUAUCCAAAAUGGGAUCGUAGCAUCGAACAUGAGAAGGCCAUGCAUAAGAUGGGGUAGGUCCAAUCAACAAAAUUUGAAAAAAGGUCAGCUUUGGAGUGGUCUGAAAAGGGAGACAAAGGAGGAGACAGAAUUCUGGAUGAUUUCACGGUAACAAUCCUGAGUGACUUGGAGGAUAUAAUAGUAUUAACUAAAAAGGAAAAUGCACAAGACAGCAAUUUGAGGGAAGGACAUUUAGAUGAAGAGAUCCUUGAGAAAUACAUGCAUUUAAAAGACAAGUGGGAGAGAAACUAAUGAAGGAGCUGAAAAUGGCCAAUGACACUGGAAAAGAACGACGACAGUAAAGUGUCCUAGUAGCCAAGGGAAGAGAGAAAGCACUUUUUAAAGGAUGAGAUGAUCACUUGUGUCAACUUCUGUCAAUAAUUAAAGGAGACAAGGGACAAGAUGACAUCCGUGGAUAUGGCAAAUAGCCAAUAAUAAUGAAAGCUAGCAUCACAUCUGCUGCAUGCUUGUCACAUGCCAGGCACACCACUUCAAGAGUUGUACAAUUUAGAAAGACUUGGAUUCAACAAGAGCCUCCAUUCUCCCCUUAUUGCAAUCACCAUGUGAAAAGAAGAGCACUUGGAGAAAAAGGCAUUUUACAUUUGCAGAAGCUCCGCUCAUGGGGUCGAAAUGCAUGCUGCCUCUACCACACUAUAACCGACGAGCUUUUAUUUAAAAGUGUCCCUAAACUAGAACUUUCCACAGCUGAAAACUAAUUGAACAUAUUUCUUUCAAAUCCGAACACACCAGUGAAAAAGGCCUUGCUCACGAAAACAAACACCUUAAGGGCCCAGAGCCAAAUGGGCAAGAUGAAAACGUUUUUGCAGGAAAUAUUCACAGGUUGAGUUGUUCACACAGGUCUGCAAGCAGGUGAAAGAGCAAGCCGCAAAAAGAGCUGCAAAACUGGAAAACAGCACAAGGGUGGCCCAAGGUAAGCAAGCACCAAGGCAACCAGGUAUUCUGUGCCAGCUGAGGACCACAGGUGUCUUGCUAAAGAAUUUAGAGAAGAAAAACUACAUGUGUUUAUAGCUUUAUAUUUAAGCUAUAAUAGACAGAGUCUACCUCUACCAGCACACUGCCAGUUUCAGAAGUCAGCGACGUCAGAAAAGGAGUGAAGGUUAGCCCUGAAAGAACAGAAAAGCAGCAAACUUUUCAGAAGUUAAAAUGGGGACACCCCAUACAAAUGGGUAGAAGUAUCCCAGUAUGGCCUGCACUACAAAGAGAAAAAUUAAAACACACCUUUUUCAAAACCUCAAAGAAAACUCCAAGCCUUAUUUGAAACACAGAAGGACAUCAGUACAACAUUACUAACAAAUCUCUAACAGUCAGCAAGAAAUGAAAUAAAAACUAAUUAAAUUCA